UUUUUUUUUUUUUUUUUUUUGAUAUUUGUUUUGACUUGAAAAAUUAUUUUAUUGAAAAACUUCGUUCACCUUCUAGGCAGAAAACAAUAUUGGUGGCAACAAAUUUUGAAAAUUGUAACAAUAGCAAUAGAGUUUUGAGAAUUAUAACAAAGUUGUGUAAAUAAAAAAAUCGAAAAAUAAAAAUAAAAAAAGAAGCCAAAUAGCCUUUUUUUUUUUUUAUAUGCCACAUCAACAACAACAGAUGUAAUAAGUGAAAUUGUAUAAUUUUGUAUUGAAUAGAAAAUGCCACGUCAACAACAACAGAUGUAAUAAAUGAAACUGUUGUUAUGAAACAAUUAAAAGUAUGGAUGUCCCUUUGUAUUCCCAAGAAGAUUAAUUCUUGCUUAAUGGCUACAUUAUGUAUAGAAGUUACAAUCCAUAAAUCUAUUCAUGUAGUGGAAGAACCGUUUCAUAGGUUUCUUCAUAUUCUUGUAAUAGUGGGUGUUUAAUAGGAUUAAUGUUCCUUUAAUCUUGUAGUACCUAUAUAUAGAGGUACAUUGACACCCUUUGGUAGGACUUUUGUAUUAGUUGGAAUAAUAAAAUAACCACUCUUUAUUUCUCUACUUUUUUCUCUAAUAUCUCCAAUAUUUCACUUGAUAUUAUAGUGGUUUAUUUUAUUAGUUUUAUAACAACUGUAUAAUUUUGUAUUGAAUAGAAAAGUGGGUAGAAAAUAUUCGACAGAGGACACUUAGGAUCCUCGGUGACAUGUUUUCAACUUGCGCAACGGAUCUUCUGUACCACACCCUAUCUCACAUCCUGUCUCAUUCCUUAGAAUUUCGCCAAGUGUCCCUUAAUAAACCAAACCCUCAAACAGCCCAACUCGAACCAUAUUAAGUUAAUUAAUCGAUUAAUCGGGCGAAGAAACUUAAUCCCUUUAACCAUUAUAACCAAAACCAAGAAAAAUAAAAACUUUUUAAUCAAAAUCACAGUUUAUCAACGAAAAAAACCCUAAAAUAUUAAAAAAUCUCUGUCCUCUCUUCAUCAUCUUCACCGUACUCUUACGGUUGUUUCAGCCUCUGCUUCACUGACGACUCUUCUUCUUCCUCCUUCGGAUUCCUCAAAAUCCAUUUCCCUUUUCCCCCCUCCAACCCAUCGAUGGAAUUCCAACGGCUUUUUCAAAAUUGUCACCUGCGCUCCGCCGAAGCAUGGCAUUCACUCCACUGAAGCAAUUGAAACUAGUAUCGGGUAUCAAGAUGCUAUCUUUAUCUUUUGCCUUUCUAGAAAAUCCAGAUUGCUUUUUAGUGCCUAUUGGACGAGUUUAUUGCGGUUUCAUUUUUUGUUCUCUCGGUUGCGGUUUUUUUUUUAUUUGUGUUGCUUUUUUUUCUUUCUAGCUACGCAGGCCAAUUUGAUGUAAUUUGCUUAGCUUAGGCACUUGAUCUAGUUUUCAACUUCAAAUUGGUAUAGAUACACACAGUUGAAUUAGUUUUGCUAUAUCCUCAACUGCAUGUGUGUAGUAGUAAUAAAUUGGUUAUAUUCUCUAGUGUCUCUGUUUUAGCGUUUUGGAACUUAGGUGUAGAUGAUGAAACUAGAGGGUAACAAGUUUGCCUUUAUCUUUUGCUGAUUAAGGGAAUUUUUCUUCUAAUUUGCAGCUUCCACUUCAAAUGUUUCAUCUGUUAAAUUUUCUGAAAAUUCGGUAUGUACUGGACGAAGCUCACCAGCUGUUCGAUCAAAUGCCUAAGAGGAAGAUGAAUCAAACUAUAAGGUAAAAGUCUGACUUGGUUGAGACUUGAGCCCAUAUUUAUUAGGAGGGUGUUUUGCGUUUUAUACGUUUGAUUUUGUUUAUUAGGACUACCUGUAGGCUUGUAAUUAGUAGUUAGAAAAUAUGUUAAAGUUUGCAUGAUGGUUACCUUUUUGUGCUGGCACAUGCGAUCCUUGUCUCCCUUCUACUCUUUCGUGUCGCAAUUUUAUUUGAUGCAUUUGAUAAUUAGUCCAUGAGUUGAAAUUUUUAUCAAAUGCUGAUUCAUAAUCUUAGAUUAGUCGUAGUAUUAUUGAUCAACAAUGAAUGGAUGGUCUUUGAUUCAUAAUCUUGAUUAGUCGUAGUAGUAUUAUUGGUCAACCUGCUGGUUUCAUUUGGGAAAUCUAUCUCUGUCUUUGGCAGAUGAGAUCAUCUAAAACCUGAUAAGGCCUAAAGGUAAGUGCUUCUAAAAAAAAAGCUCUUUUUUUUAUUCUGUAACUAUGAAUUAAAGCCAAGAAACAUGUGUGAUCACUGUUUUCUCAAAUGGUUUUCUGGUUUUGGUCUAUAUGGAUAGAGGUGCCAUCUUGACAUGCAUUAGUGUGACUAGUUACAGGGUUUAUGUAUUCAUUCACUUCAUUGUUACUGUUUACAAAGUUCAAUGUUUAUGAAAAUUAUGUAACUUAGAUAAUUGUAAUCUCUUAUUUGCAGAAUGUUAUGCAUAAUGAAGCUUCAAUCAUGUAAAGCUUGUAACUUUUUCCCUAAUACUGCAGGGGUAUCUGAUAUGAUGAUAGGUUUUUGCAGUCAACUGGAACUGAUUCGUGUUACUGCAUCUGAGACUAUGGAAGCCUAUAUCAUUCUGUGCAACCUUGAUGAUGGACAAGAAGAGCAGGAGAGGAAAAGGUUCUUGCGUGGAGGAGGAGGAGUGGGGUAAGGCAGAGCCAUCAACUCUCAAGAAUUCGCCGGAGAACAAACUAAGGGAGGCUCUCGAGGAGGCUUCUGAAGAUGGGUCACUUCGUAAAAACACAUGAAAUUCACUCUGAGUCUUUGAAUCAAGAUGGCUGCUUGGGAAGGUCAAUAUCUCUUGCAAGGCUUAAUGCCCAGAAGGAAUUCUUGAGGGCAACUACUCUUUUGUCUGAAAGGACAUUUUGCAUUGAAGAAUCCAUUCCUGGCUUUAAUGAAGCCUUCUUGUUGGUUCUUGACUUUGUACCCAAAGUUCCAAUGUUGAGAAACAAUUGACCAUUUGAGAAUUGACUUUGUACGGGUUGUUUUUUUGUUUUCAAACGCUACAGUAUUGGGAUUCAUCUAUAUUUAGCUUAAAGGAAAUUACUGCAAAUUUGAGCAAUCAUGUACUUCAUUGGUGUGCAGAGGAAGGUACUGUGGAGCAUGAUAUUAAAACCAAAAUUAUGGAUUACUUGAACAUUCUUGAGAAUGAGUUUGUACUUGUUUUUACUAUUAGUAGAGGAUCUGCAUUUAAAUUGUUGCUGAAUCUUAUCCUUCCCAUUCGAACAAGAGGCUGUUGAAUAUGUUUGACCAUGGGAGCCAGACUGUGAGUUGGAUGGCUCAAUGUGCUAAAGAGAAGGGUGCAAAGGUGUACAGGGCCUAGUUUAUGGACAUAUUUUGGGAAUUUCAGCAUUGUUAUAUGGAUUAUAUAUACAAUUUGGUGUCAACAGUCAAAUACGAGAUUGGUCCCGAGUUGUUUAGAAUCAGAGAACAAGUUUUCGGAGUACCUUUAACAUGAAUGACACAAAAAAUGAGUUAAAAAAAAAGGAUGGAGAGAGAGCAGAGGUCUCUCGUUCGGGUCCAAUAUUAUACCAUGCAUCAGUUUCAGAUAAUUCUGGUCAAUUACCCACUAAAUAAAACUCAAACAAAGAAAAUUAUUCCUAGCAGAAAAGGCCACUCAAAAUCAAAAUCUGAUCAGUCAUAUUCUCACCCUUGCCAUCCCUGUAUGUAGUGAGUUGUGAAACUUAGCAUCUAAUUAGUCUCUUCCAUCAGUGAAACCUCAUCAACCUGGUACGAAAUUCAUGGCCAAAUAAAUCCUGGGAGUGUCCCUAUAGAUUUUUAUAAAUGGAAACAAACUACGUGCAAUUUCACAGACGAAAGGUAGCCCAGGCAUUAGGAUCCUUGUAUUCACAAUGCAAUGUAAACAGACCACGAAGUCUAAAAAGCAAAACAUUAAUCAACUUAAAUCAAUUGAGAUUUCAACUGCGCAAAGUGGAAUAAGGCUGCAUUCUGGUUCUUAUUAAAGUUCAAAAUGUAUGUUAUUCGAAUUAAGCUACAAUCCUACCAUGUAAAAUCUCAGAGAUAAAAAGAUCCAAUUCCAGCUAUCAAGCUCAAGAAUAACCAAGCUGAUCAUCCACCAUAAUCAAAAGAACUACACAAAUAAGGUCUAAUUAAUCCAUGAGCGCAAUCCCACAGUCUUGUCCUCCAUUUCUUCAUAAGCAUCUUCAUUCAAUUUUCCCAUUUUCAACAACUUGUUGAUCAGAAUCAUCAUUAUUUUCAAGUUCUUGCGCCUAUAAAAACAGACCCAAAGUUAGCCAAUAUAUUGAAUUAUAAUUGUAAAUUAUCAAACUAAUAUAUAUAAGAUUAAAUAAUUAAUCAAGGUUUUUCCUUACUUGGACAAAACUUAUUGAUGCAUGCUGUUGUGCUAUUGAACUUGAAGACAUCAAAUCAUAGCCUUGGUAGAAGUUAGGGUCCAACGUCUGUCAGAAAAAUAAGAAAUAAAAGACCACACAUACAAACAAAAGAUAAAGGCAAACUUGUUACCCUCUAGUUUCAUCAUCUACACCUAAGUUCCAAAACACUAAAACAGAGACACUAGAGAAUAUAACCAAUUUCUUACUACUACACACAUGCAGUUGAGGAUAUAGCAAAACUAAUUCAAAUGUGUGUAUCUAUACCAAUUUGAAGUUGAAAACUAGAUCAAGUGCCUAAGCUAAGCAAAUUACAUCAAAUUGGCCUGCGUAGCUAGAAAGAAAAAAAAGCAACACAAAUAAAAAAAAAAAAUCGCAACCGAGAGAACAAAAAAUGAAACCGCAAUAAACUCGUCCAAUAGGCACUAAAAAGCAAUCUGGAUUUUCUAGAAAGGCAAAAGAUAAAGAUAGCAUCUUGAUACCCGAUACUAGUUUCAAUUGCUUCAGUGGAGUGAAUGCCAUGCUUCGGCGGAGCGCAGGUGACAAUUUUGAAAAAGUCGUUGGAAUUCCAUCGAUGGGUUGGAGGGGGGAAAAGGGAAAUGGAUUUUGAGGAAUCCGAAGGAGGAAGAAGAAGAGUCGUCAGUGAAGCAGAGGCUGAAACAACCGUAAGAGUACGGUGAAGAUGAUGAAGAGAGGACAGAGGUUUUUUAAUAUUUUAGGGUUUUUUUCGUUGAUAAACUGUGAUUUUGAUUAAAGAGUUUUUAUUUUUCUUGGUUUUGGUUAUAAUGGUUAAAGGGAUUAAGUUUCUUCGCCCGGUUAAUCGAUUAAUUAACUUAAUAUGGUUCGAGUUGGGUUGUUUGAGGGUUUGGUUUAUUAAGGGACACUUGACGAGAUUCUAAAGAAUGGGACAGGAUGUGAGACAGGGUGUGGUACAAAAGAUCCGUUGCGUUCAACUUGGCUUGAUUUAAUACAAGUUUAAAUAAUAACAUAACACUUUGCGCAAUACUAUUGAUGGCAUUGGAUUGGCAUAGAAAACAUGUCACUGAGGAUCUCAAGUGGCCAGAAGAUCCUCUGAAAACUCCAGGCUCUGCCUCUCCUCUUUGAUAUAAAUAUGAACCUCCUUCGUCGGCUUCGUCGUCGAUAAGAAUUGAUCGAAGCUCUCAGUACAAUCAGCUCUCUUCUUCAAAAGCCGUGAUACAUAAAAAAACAGCAGCAUUGUCAUCAAUUUUCCUCAAAAACAUCCGAAAUGUCGCUCAUUCGAAGCCUCUUCGGUGGCCGACGGGGCAACGUGUUCGACCCAUAUUCCCUGGACGUUUGGGAUCCCUUCGUAGGCUUGGCUUUCACAGACGCUAGUCUGGCCAACGUCCCAAAUACAGCAAGCGAGACAUAUGCAUUUGCUAGGCCCCGCAUUGAUUGGAAAGAGACCCCGGAAGCUCACGUCUACAAAGCCGAUCUUUCGGGGCUGAGGAAGGAGGAAGUGAAGGUGGAAGUUGAGGAAUGCCGGGUGUUGCAGAUUAGCGGAGAGAGGAGGCGGGAGCAAGAGGAGAAGAAUGACAAGUGGCAGAUGGUAGAGAGGAGGAGCGGGAGAUUCGGGCGCAGGUUCAGGCUGCCGGAGAAUGCCAAGGCGGAUCAGGUGAGGGCUAGCAUGGAGAAUGGUGUGCUCACCGUCACUGUGCCGAAAGAGGAAGCGAAGAAGCCUGAGGUCAAGGCCAUUGAGAUCUCUGGCUAAAUGCUUUUAGAUGGCUAAGCCUAGUGGAAGUUUGUCUUUGUCUUGAAAUGGUUGAGAUGUCUCCGUCUGCCUGCAUGACUGUGGUUGCUGCAUGGAUGAUGAUGAAUUUUGUUUAAUGAGUCGCGAGUGAGUAGGCUUUGGUUUGUUUUGAAAUGAAGCAUCGAUAAAUACUCAAUUCUUGCCACCGUCUUCUAAUGAGUAGGCUAAAUGAACUCAACUUGGAAUGGAUUCUACCUGCAGCCAAAAGAAUGGAGUGAUUGUGAUGCUGAAUUAGGAAUUUAAAGGAGGUUCUUGACAUUUUAAACCUUCUUCUCAAGAUCUGCAAGUGUUUGUAGCAGCGAUUGAUUUCAGAAUUUUCACAACACAGAAACAAUUCACUGGAUGAAUUACGGCUUCCUCCUAGCCAAGACCUUGUCAUCGUAGAUUGCGUGAAUUGCUUUCCUCCGUAAACAGUCAAUUCGAGAAUCAGACUGAACGCUCAAACCCAUAUUUUCUCUAGUAUCCAACGGUAAUUUGAUGCUCUGUUCUCGGCGAGUUCAUUUAGCUGCCAGCCAAUUGGCUAAUCUCUUUCACCUGCUUCUUUAGAGCAUGAAUGACGGUAUUAUAGCAGAAUAAAUCAAUUGUGGGUGAAAGACAUUCAGGGCGCCGUAAGUACAUUUGCUGAUUACCCCGCCAUCAAUCAUUCUGUUUCUUCUUCACAUCCCGUCUUGUCAAUCAAUAGCAGGCUAGAGAUGCAAAUACACUCUCCCUCUUUUACGCCAACUCCAAAUUUUACUAGUGGAAAGUCUUACUACCAGAAUAUGCUGUCAAAACUAUCGUAAACAGUUUUGUCAAUGGCCACACAAGUUUUAUUCAUCUUUCGGCCGGUAUAAAUCCAAAGUCCAAAACCCAACAUCAAAAUCAAAAUUUAAAAAAAAAAAUAAUAAUCAAUUAUUAACAAAUUAGACGAUCCAAUUUGCUAGCUAGUUACUGCGUUGUAACAUUAUCCAGUUUCCAAAGAUACCUGAAACUUAGAUGCAAAGUCACUAAUCUCACAAGAAACUAGUCCAAAAAAGGGAGAAUGUGAUACUACCAAAUUAUAACCCGUAGUUCGAGUCAUUCUCUGAUUGCCAUUAGACAGUAAUAGAUACACCACCGCUUCCCCUAGCACUAACAGAAGCGAACGCAUCCACAUCCAUUCCACUGACGGAAUUCGCCAAUUGGACCCUAAAAACUUACUACUAUGGACAUAAGCACUAGUACGACGGGAAAAAAAUGAAAAGAAAGAAAGACAAGGACGCAGACAUAACAGAAACGACGACUCGGAAAUCAGCCAGAAAUUUCAAUGGACUUGACAUCAGGCUUCCUGAUUUCUGCUUUAGGGACAGUGACGGUCAGAACCCCAUUCUCCAUCGAUGCCUUGACUUGUUCCACUUUAGCAUUUUCAGGGAGCCUGAACCUCCUCAUGAAUUUCCCGCUGCUCCUCUCCACCUUGUGCCACGUGUGGCCCUUGUCCUCGAUUUCCCUCUUCCUCUCCCCACUGAUCUGCAAGAUCCUCUCGUCCUCCACCUCCACCUUGACCUCCUCCUUCCUCAGCCCCGGCACGUCCGCCUUGAACACGUGGGCAUUUGGGGUCUCUUUCCAGUCGAUGCUGGCGUGGGCAAACGAGGCAGUCUCAGAUGAGGAGGACGGAAAGGUGGUGCGGAGCUGACCGGAGAAUGGGCUAAAGUCGGAGUUGAAAGGCCAGCCCUGAAAUGGGUCCCAAAUUUCAUCGGGAGUACUGGAUCGGCGGCCGAAGAAGCUUGGAACCAUCGACAUUUUUUUCCUCUCACUCUUAGGAGUGUUUACGGGUUGUUCUCUUAGCGAAAUCUGCAGUGCAAAAUCAACGGGUUGAUCGAGAAGGUAAUUGGCGGACCUGGCCACUAUUUACAUGGUGUUUUGGAUAAAAUUUGUGCGAGUUGCAGAACGUUCUCGAACAAGUUGUCUCGCAUCUUUUCAUUUGCCCUUUUUCAUUAUCGGUUUAAUUGCUAAUAGUAUUUUUUUUUUUUUUGGCCGACAUUACUCGUGUGCCCAUUAAAAAAUGUCUAUGGUUCAAGUAAAUAGGGUAGUAUUUUCAAUUUUGAGGGGAGAGCAUAAAAAAUUUGGAAUUUUCUGGUACCUAAUGAAUUUGUCACACUAAACUUUUUCUGAAAAUCGGAUUUUCACUUUCUAAUGCACAGUAAUUAGGGGUUCGACUUUCGUCAUAUUUCGCAUUGAUGUCGCCAAAGUGGUGCCCCACCGACUAAUACUAAAAUAGUUUAGAUAUCUACAUUGUUAAAAAAUAAUAAAAAUAAAUAAAUCUGGCAAAUAUUUUGUUAAAGAAAAUACCAAAUUCGUUUCACUUAGCUCGUAAACAUUGACCUAUCAAUCAAAUUGGGGUGCAAGUUAAAACAAACGCACAUUGAUUACUUUCUAGCAGUAGAGCAAUAGAUUUUUAACGCACAUUUUUUUUGUUAGUGUGAUAAGACUCCCUCCAUUUAGUGUAACUCUUUCAUAUUCAUGUUCUAUAUUCGGGUGUAUCAGCGCUAUCGAAUAUUCUAAUGAUUAAGUGAUAAAAAUAAAAUAAAGGAAGCCCAAAUAAUCGAGUUACCAUGCUGGUGCCCGAGAAGCAUUGAAUUAUCUCAAAGAUAUAUAUAUAUAUAUAUAUAGAUGAAACAACUUUAGAAAAAAAAAUACUUGUGAUGUUCAAUCCUUGAAUUCUAAAUCAUCUAGGAUUGAUGCUGGACUGAGUAGUUUGACCGAGCUCGCAAACUAUUUGGUCAGCAGCUCGCCUCGAGCUCGCUUUGAUCAAACUUGAGCUCGAGCUCGAACUGCUUGAUAGAAGCAAUGAGUCAAGCUCGAGUUUUAACGUUUUGCAUUCGGAAAUUCGACGAGCCUAAUUGACCUUCUUAUAAUAUAUAUUUUAAUUUUUAUUAUUGUAAAAUAUCAAUAAUAUCCUUUAUUAAAAAUUAUAUAUAAAAUAUUAAUUUUUAUUACGUGAGUUUGAUUAGGAUUGAUUGAGCUCGAAUAUGCUUGAUUGAACUUGAUUUGAAUUGAUUACAUUUAAUUAAACUCGAACUCGAGUAACGUAAAUUGAUGUCGAGUUCGAACUCGAGGUCGAAUUCUAAAAGUUCGAUGAACUCGAGUUAGAUCUCGAGUUUAGUUAUUUUACCUCGAGCACUGCUCAAGCUCGACUCGACUCGAACGCAUCCUAGACACAUCUAUAAUAAUGUCAUACAGUGUCCUGUACCGUGGUUCUGUAUGUACAAAAAUAACCACAGGCUAAAUUUACAAUUCCUCGUCGUCAUCUUCGAUUGUUUCUAGAUCAUCCUCAUCGAUGGCCGCAACUUUUGCAGCACUCUUUGCUGCUGCACUGACUCUAGAAGAAGCAUUUGGUCGAACCUUGAAGGGCGAUUUUGCAUUUCGUGAUACCCUGCUGCUAGGAACAAUGCCACAGCCUUCAUCUUCUUUCUUCAAGUCGGCUGGAGGCAGAAAGCAAUCAAUGCUGAGUCCCUUUAUGUUGAAAUCAACUUCUUCAAUCGUCCAAACCUCUUCCAUCCGCGUCCGGGUGCGGCUUUCAGAGUUUUCUCCGAACCUCAACAGCGAUACGCAUGUUCUUCCAGCAUGGGCUACAUUAACACCAUCAAUAGUCCGAUAAUCUUGUAUCGUGGAUUCCAUUGUUGUCUCCCAUAAAACGUCGUUUCCAGGGGCCUUUAUUCUCAGGAGAUGAGAGUCUUCCAGCUGGAGUAGCAGGCCUGUUCUUUGGCUGAAGUAGCCCCAAACACUAUGUCUGAUUAUUUCCACAUUGCUGCUGCUUCUGGCUCUGAGUGUUGAAGGAUCUGCCUCGAGUUUUAGUACAAAGCAAUCCUCAUCAUAGACAGUCUUCUCACCAGUGCAGAUGGAAUUGGAGAAUAAGUUGGCCGUGGACCUUGGAUCAAGACCCUGUUGGAGGAUGAUUCAAUAGAAUCGAUUAGCUCAAUUUCUUCAAUAGUAAUAAACCCACAGCAUAGUUUAUCUUCAAUAGUAAUUAUAUCUUGAAAAUUAGCUUAAUUUUCAAGAGAUUCCAUCCAGCACCAAGAAAAACAAUUAAGUCAAAUGGAUUUGCCAGCUUAAGACAGUGCAAGAUCCACGAAAUGGGCCUGAACCAGUGAAGUCCUCCGCCUGAUUAGCUAAUUGCAUUUCCGCAGGGGGAGGACCACUUGAUCCAAUUUGAUGUGCACCAAUUAAUUGACGCUUUACCAGACCGUGUAAAUGCAAUUCUUACAACUUUUGCUUGGACCAAAUGAAGGAGCUUUCAUACCGGCAUAAAAUGGGCAUAGACCAAUUGAUGACGAUGAUUGUACUCCAACGGAAAGCGGAAAGAAUUAUUUUAAGCUAGUCCAACUUGGAAUUGGGUCCACUAGAAGAUAGACUUGGAAAAGAUUGGAAUUGAACUGGUUUAUUGGGUGGUUAAGAACGUGGAUGGUGGAACUCAAACCGAUAGACUUGGAGCCGGACCUUUUUAAAGUCCUCAUUAAAGUCAGCAUCCAAUUGGAUUUUGUUGUAGGUUCCAGUUUUCCAGAUAGAUGAAAGCGAUGCUGCGCCUUCCUCCUCUGAAGAUAACAAAAAAACGGAGGAACUGUCCAUUUUGAGAAAAAAUUUUCAAACAUCCAAUGCAUAUUUUCCCGUUCACACCUACCUUUUGUUAGGUUCAUUCCUCGUCCAAGGACAUGAUACUCAGCUGUAAGCGUGAAGAAAACCUCACUUCUUGAACUAGUUUUUAGGGGUGGAGAAUUCAACAGCACUCAAUAUUAUUAUCGAGUUCCGUCACAACUAACUCCUCUCGAUAAAGAUUUGAGAAUGAAGAUAUGAUCCAACCUAAGGUCGAUGUGUGAGACAGAAAUUGUUAGGUUUAUCUCACACUGGUUUGGUUGCAGUAAGAGGGUCCAAUAGUACCCAACAAUUUUGAUGAAGAGUGACCUCAAUUUCGUUGUUCAAGACAAAGGAGUGACCUACUCCUCAAUCUUGCCGGUUGGUUCAAUUCUUGCUACUCAAAUAAUUACUUGCUCUUAUGCAAUUAAGUGCAAUUAAGCAACUAUCAAAUUACAAGCGAAUUUGUUAAAGACAAUUAAGAAAACAAAAUUUGGAAAGGUGACACGUAAAAUUAAAAGAGGACAAGAAAAGUAAAAAACACUACUAAAAGUACCUGCAAGGAACGACGGAGAGGCCUGGGUGGACCGCGAGAUGCAUGGGAAUGAUGCCAUGGGGUCUGCCUCCAAGCCACCUUGCCAUCACUACCAGCACUGAUCUUACAACCAGACACCACUAAUUCCAGGCUCCAUAAAUCGGGCCUUUUCUGCCACAACACAAAUCCUCCCACUUCCCCUGGUCCACCUUUCGUGCUCUUGAGCUUCGAAGCCUUACCGUUGCUCGUGUUGUUACAGCUCAUACUCAGACCUUCCCCGGCAACAACUUCUGUUGUGGCCAGCUUGACUUUUCCCAUCGCGUACAUGCUAUGGAUUGAGUUUAAAGCAUUUUCUCCUCCCGCAGCUGCUAUGUACUGCUGCACUAUGUAUUUAGCCAUUGAAGUCUCCUGCAAGGAUUAACAGAAUUAUAAGUCUCGUGAUACGUGACAAGGAAUCGGUACUGAGUGAUGGAGAAGUUAUCGCUGAUUCUAAUUCUGACUCUGGUAGAAAACCAAACGCAGGUUUAGUGGUAGUAAAAGGACUUACAAUGGGGUGGUUUUUGAUGCUUUUGCUAAAAGAAUAGCGAUCAGAGCAGAUGGGCAGGGGGACUAAAGGAGCGCCAACGACACCGAGCAGGAGCUGAAUCUCCGUGUUUCGGCCACCAAAGAGGGAAACAGGUGACCUUUCAGUAUGGGACUUCAUCCAGGAUUUCACGUUUUGCCAGGACCUGUUCUUGGUGGAAGCAAAAAUCUCUUCCGGGAUGGGAACUUCAAGCACUGUUUCCAGUGCAUCUUCUCUAUCCAAGUUGGGGCACAGCGUCCUCAUGUCCAAUUGUGUAUGGGAAGCAAAUUAAGAAAGAGUAAGAUGUGAAGAGGAGUCUGGAACGAACAGGUUGGGAAGUUAAAUGGGGUCUUUCUCUCUGUUUUUUUUUUCUUGCGUUUGGUACUGGGAGAAAUGGGAAGAAGGAAGGAAGUAAAGAGGGAAGAAAUGUUGUCUUUGAUUGAAAGGGAGGGUACGUAUGGGGGGAUUUUUUGGGGGGGGGGGGUGGCAGCUGUUGAAUACUACUAAGUACUGAAUAGAGUAGCAAAGGACGACCAACCGACCGUGGGCCGCCUCCAAUCCAACCAACGUGCUGCUAGUAUUUGUCAGCGUCGUGACCGCACGCUCACACACACAUUCGCAUCUCUUUUUCUUCCCCACUGAAACUCAAACAAUCUUUUACUGUUUGGGGUAAUUCAUUGAGAUUAACUUUUUCUGUGGAAUCCAGAAGGGGAAAUUGGCGACAUGUAUUUUGAUUGAUUUUAAUGUCUUGAUAAAGACACAGUAGUGUGUGAUAUGAUAUCUCUCGCUGCAGAAUUGGCUAUAUGGAUAAUAGACUUCCGGUUGCCCUGACAUCUUCAACUAACUCCCUUUUUUUUUUUUUUCUUUUUGGACAACCUGGACACAUUUCCACUCGGUUAUGGUUUUCAAUUUUUCAACGUACACAUAAUUCUUUUUUGAUAUUUGUUUUGACUUGUAAUUUUUUUUUUUUUUUUUUUUUGAUAUUUGUUUUGACUUGUAAUUAGUUGUGUGUUUUUGCCUGAUGCAAAGGAUUGAUUAGGGGAUGGAUAUAUGGUUUGCCAACUGAAUCAGUUUUAAUUAGGUCGUAUGCCCAGCACAGAGCAUCAAGAAACGGAUAGGUAAUACAACAAAACAUCUCUGGACAUGCAUUAAGAAUAAAUUUUGUCGGCCGGAACCAUCGCAAUGCAUAUGCAUGCGACCGACCACUACUUGUAUGGUAUGCUGUUGGAUCAUAUCAUAGAAAUUGCCGCAUACACUCAAUCCAAUAUUCCAAUCAGCUUUUGCUGGAAUUAAUUGUGCAUCUGCAGGCAUAUUCAUGUCUGAUUCCUAAUUCUUGUAUCGUAGGUUAUAAAGUCGGAUGCAACUUGUUUCUUUCGUCGUGACACGUAUGCUGCUGGGCGUCUUUCGAAAGUUGCUUCAAAUUAAAAAGUCUUCAAUCAUGCCACGCACGUUUCAUCCCACAUUGGUUCUGGGGGGUUGGGUUUGGGUUUAUAAGCCCUGGAAAGAUCCAAAAAGUUGCCGAUCUUUUAAAUUUCUUCUGAAAUCUAGGUUUAUAGAAGCCGAAUCUCUAACUUCCGCUAGAAAAGGUCAAGAGAUGCCACGCACGUUUCAUCAUCAUAAAAAUCCAAAACAUCCUCCAUUGAGCCAUUAGCUUUUGUCAAUGGAAUGGUUGUUAAUACGUGAUCCAUCAUCAGAAUAUCAUGAAGUCAAUUGACCACUGAUCAAGCUUAAUUAAUCUUCCAUUGAGCCAUUGUUUUCCUAAUAGUAGAGCCUGUUCUGUUGAGGCGGAUCCUGUGUUCAAUGAAAAAAAAAUGAAUUGGGUAUGCUUCCAAAAAAAAAAAAAACGAAUUGAAUUGGGAAUCACGCAGACGUCAACAUCAAGCUGUGACUUGUACACUAUCGAGAAUUAUGCGUGGUAUGUCUUGUGGAUUGGGCGACUGAUGAAUCAGAUACUGUAUAUAUCUACGGGAUCAAGCUGUGACCUGCACACUACUGAGAAUUCCUCCUUCGUCAUUCAACAAUUUUCAUUUUGUUUUCAAUGAUUUGAUGUUAUGCCAAGAGCCAUAACUCUGUGACUCCUUUUCGGUGGCUGGCCUAUUCCUGUCAAAAUUGCAAAUUUUAUUGUAACUUGGCAGGCAAGCAAAGCAAGUACAGUACAAGAGCAGCAAUAGGUAGCCUCUUGUAAUAAAUUAGGAUUUUUCCUUCCCCAAGCCUUCGCACACUCUUGCGUACAAGUAUUUUUUAUUUUCAAUUUUUAUAAUUACAAGUAGCUCACCAAAAAAAAAAAGAAAAGAAAAGAAUUCUCUUACCCCUCUCUUGCUUCCUAAGUCCCACCCUCACUUGUUUAAAGUUUUUUUUUUUUUAAAAAAAAAAGUAACUCACAAAAGAAUAACUUAGCUCAUGAAUAACAAACGUGGCAGCAAGUUCUUGUAAUAUAUGCAUGAGUAACUUAGCUCAUACGCAGUAUAAAAGCAUAUUUAUGCGUAAAUUUUUUUUUUUAAAAAAACAACCAGAAAAUGCGGUAACAAGAACAAAUUCAAUUUCAACUAUACUUUUGGGACAGAUAACUUAUAGCUGAAUAGAAAAUGGUAGGCAGGACGUGAAUCCUUAGUCAUUAGUGGACAAUAAAGCCAGUUACAUUAGUCAUUAGUGGACAAUAAAAGCCAAGUACCUGCUUUCGGACUCUGGAUUAGUAACAUUAAUUCACUAUUUAGUGGGUAGGGUUUAGGUUACUACUUUUGAUAGCCAUGACUCCACUCACUUUUCCUUCCUUUGAAAAAGGAAUUGAUCAUAACGUAGCAAAUAGGGAUCCCCCACCCCCCCCCCCCCCACCAACUUAGCCAAAUUAGUCAAAAUUAAGUUCAACGAUAUCACACAAAGGAAAGAAUAUCACUUCUAUUGCAAUAAAUAAUUUGCCAUUCCAUUCUAGCAAUCAAGCGGUAAGAUUUACUAAAUCUUUAAUUGGAAUAAAAGGUGUUGAUUUAAUGCAUUUAUUAUGUUCUAAAGCAAAAUCCCAUUUCUUUAGCAGUAUCAUCUUCUUCUUCUUCUUUUUUUUUUUUUUGGGUAGAUGUUAAUACUAGUUGCUUAAUUAUGAGAUUUGGAAACACAUCUAUGCUGCAUUCCCAACAAAAUAACAAUAAGGAUAGUGAAUUUAUUCAAAAUGCUGGUUACCUCACAAAGAUUUUUCCAAUAGCUAUUCUUUUUUUUUUUUUAAUCAAUUGUCUGACCUCUAGAUUAGUAUACUUCAAUUUAUUCUAUGAAUAUAUACAAUCAUAAUUAUUGUAUUCAGAAAACUUUCCAAAUAACACCAACCGAUGUAAUAAAUAGGCACUCGGAUAUAGUAGCAGAGGGGGAGGCACCAAAUCCAGUCAAGGGCAUUCCCGUUGCGUGUUAUGUGAAUCUAAUCUAAUUUAAAAUCGCAACAUUUCCGCAAUAUACGGCGGGAAAUAUGAAUUGAACUUCCCUGACCCGCCCCAUCGGACCGGAUCUUCUGCUCAAUUCAAUUCAGGCAUGAACUUUUGUGAUCAUGAGGCCCAAUCACGGGCAAUCUGCGUUCAUACGAGAAAAGGCAACAAUAUAAUGCAUCAUCCGGAAGCUCGUCGGAUCCGUUUCUCUUGACCUCAGGUUGCGGUAGUUAAAUACUGCUGAAUAGUACGUGCAGAAAGAAUCAUCUUUUUGUUGCUUUCUUCUUUUUUUUUUUUUUUUUCUUUUUUGGUUGAUGCUAAUGGAAUUUAAAUCUUUCACACGGCAAUGAAGUUUUUCACACGUACAGGAAUCGAUUACUAUCCCGCGUAUAUUGAAUUUUAGUUUACGCCGGAAUUGGCUGAUCACUUUCCUUAAAAAAAUUCGAUAUUAAAAAAGUCAAACGUCUGCGAACCUGUAAAGUAAAGAUCAAGACAGAUUUUGUCUGUAGUUAGGAAUUAAGAACACCUCCAAUUUUUCCUCCUCAUAGAUAGUAAUCUCUGCAUUUGACUAUGAUUUUUUUUUUUUUGCUCUGUCUAACGGAUAUUAUUAAGAUGUAUUUUAGGUGUUAAAUUUUUAGAAAUAUAAUAUUAAUUAAGAAAAGCGUAUAAAUGAAAUGUAAGGGAAUUAAUUAUAUAAAGCGUAUAAAUACAAGGAAAACUAAUAGUAAUUAUUACUAUAUAUAUAUGAUAGGUUGGAUAAAAUAUAAGUGUCUUAACAAGUGUCUAUUGAGCAUCCGUUAAAAACUCCCUUGUUAUUGGGUAUUCGUCAUGACUAUUUAACUGCACCAUUGUACCACGUCGGAACCUUCGAUCUAUGCCAACAGUUGCUUGCUCUAAUGAAGAGACAAAUGUUUUGAGAGAUCAGUUAAAUUGGACUCAACUUGAUAAGCAUUCGUAGCCAAUAGACUUCUGAAUCUGAUUUUGAGCAUAGGCGCCAAGGAAUAGGCGAAGCUGACGACACCAUUGACUAAAUAGCAUUAUAUGGAUUGUAAUUGCAAGUUUUAGAUGUUAAAUUUACCGAGAAAGGAUUGUAAUGGCAAGUUUUGAGCUUUUUUACAUCCACGCACACAACCAUUGCCCAUUUGCUGUCCAUGGGUACCAAGUACAAACUCAAGUGAAUUGUACGUAUAACUUGAACUCUAAGCUAUCUUAGUUGCCUGCUCAAUUUUAACACCAGAGUCCAGAAGCCCCAAAAAAAAAAAAAGAGUUAAAUGCAAAAAACCUUUUUGUAGUUAGGUGAUUGUACAAGUUAACUCCCCAUCUUUUGAAAAUCUACAAUUAAACCCCUAUAAUUUGCAUCAAAGUGAAACCGUUGGUUUUUUCCGUUAAAUUUAAUAGUCAAAUUAUUGCAACGAAACAAUGAUGAAAUUAUUACAAAUUUAAAUUUAGAAUUAUGUGUCAUGUAUUUGAUGAUAAAAAUGUAUAUACUAUUAGUGUAUAAAAGAUUAAUCCUAUAUGUUUUAUUGUAUAAUAAUCAAAUAAUUUUAACCUGUUGGCUGUCAAAUCUAACAAGAAAACUAGCCGUUUCACUUUCAUUCAAACCAUAGGGAUUAAAUUGUAAGUUUUCAAACUAUAAAGGGUUAACACGUGCGAUUGGCUAAACUAGAAGGGAGUUUUUUGUAUUUAACCGGAAAAAAAAAAAAAAAAAAAAAGAGGAUGAUAAGAAGGGACCAAUUUUCUACCUCAUAUCCAUCCACGGGAUCGAAAAUAUAUUCAGUUUGGAUUCUAUUUGGUCGAACCAGCCACAAAAUCUUUGAAUCAGUAGAAAAUGUCAACUCUGUCUUAAACAUGUAAACCAAAAAUAUCCUGAAAUCAAAUGAUCAAAAUAGUAACCGGCUGUAUCUGUCAAGAUAAACACGGAGAACUUAAUUCCACAUGUAAUUUAAGUAUACAACUUCUUUGUUCAAAACCAUGACAAAAUGUCAACAGACUAUGGCACGAUAAAUUCAAAUGCCCGCGGCAGAAUAGUUUUACUAGGAACUAAAAAAUAAUAAUAUUCUUCAAGACGAGAUAUAAAAGCAUCAUACCACAAGAUAAAACACAAAAUCUGCUCUACUUCUCUUACUAGCUAUUAUAAACAACAGGAGCAAAGAAUAUGCUUACUUCGUUCCGUCCAUGAUAUUAGGUGCGUAAAGUUUAGAUGCUACUAGAUCCGAUAGCAGUUCGGGUACCCUGCUUCACAAUCCUGGCCUCGCUCUCAUCGUUCAUGAGGGCACAUUGAAGUGAAACAGCCAGGAGAUCACAAAUGCAAAAACCAUACAGGCCAGCAAGAAAUUCAGAAAUCGAUGACCCUGCCAGAAAUUUCGAGACUCUGAUGGAGGUGCUGGUGCUGCAGCUGCACUGGGAGCCUCGCUUGGUUCAUUCCACUGCUCCAACAACUCUGCUUCAUUUGCACCGGCAACAUUUUGUGCAAUUGAUCCACAUAUCUCACAGGUUCUGGACAGGAGGAUUUUUGAUAACCAAAAAUGCAAAACUAUAGACCAAAGAAUUAUCUAGCUUAAAGCUCCUAAUGUCCAACACUACACAUUGGCAGGAAUGGACCCUGUUAAAAAAAUUCAGACUCAAAUUGAAAAAGGGAGGAAUGGGGGAAGGGGUUGUACGCCAACAAUAUCUCUUGAAUUCAACUUGAACGCUCAAACACCAAUGACUCCUUUUGAGGUUGCUACCAGACAAAUCAUACGCCUGGAGAUGCAUAGCCUUGGUGGGCUCAGAGAACGUUUAUAUUUGCUUGAGGUAGACAGGGCAUAAGAUUCAUAAUCAAAAGUUUCAUAUUUCCUAGUGAGGUACUUCCGAAGUAGGCAAACAUGCUACUUGUGACUUAAUCAAAUGACAUAAUUAAGAUAACGAUGGAACGCUAACAAAUUUCAUUCUUCCCCUUAUUCUCUCAUGUUGAAAGGGAAGAAAACAAAGCAGAGAAUAACAAGGACUCGGGAGGAUUUACACUCCCUGACAGCCUUUUGGACAUUUUGAACUAGCAUUGACUUAAAAAGCUUGCGAGAAAUGUAGUACAUAGAACACCAUGGUUAAAGAAGUUAUCCCAAUUCGUGGCCUAUUAAUCCAUAUUCCAUAAGAUUAUAAUAUCGAUUAGUUACAAAAACUAUAUGAACCAGAAAAUUAGCAUUUUACAAUAUUCUUCCAAAUUAUGUUUACAAAUUUCUCCAGGGCUUAUUACUUGUACAUACUGUCCUUUUUUUUUUUUAGCAUUUAACAUAAUCUUGAGAAGGAAAAGAGCCGUUAAAGCAAUAGCUAUGUAAAACCUACUAGAUUCCACAAAAAUAUGCUAUAACCUAGAUCAGAUUUUCACUUUAACAUCAGUGAAGAUUUCUUGAGCAUGAAGUAUGCCAAAGAAUGGAAGGAAAUAUAAAAGGGGUAGGAUGAGAAUCCACUACUCUGACAAAGAAGUUAAAGUAGACGACUAUAAUGGAAAAAAUGGGUAUGGACUAAGAGAGAGUGACAACACGGUGUGUACCAUUACAAGAUAUUAUCCAAAAGACGGCUAUGCUUUGUGUGGCAAAAACACAUGACAAUAAAGUUCAAGGCUCCACAUUUACAAUGAUAGGGUAAAGGAAAAUGGUUUGGCAAAUCAAAAGUAGAGUAGGCUCAUAACAAAACCAAGUGGAAAAGCUAUCUCCGUUUGCCAUCUUAUUACAGCUUCACAUGUUCUGAUUUUCUUUAAGCAAAUUGUUGGACUUGCUCCAUGGCCAACCAUUGCAGAGGCACCAGAAGACCAAAAUGUGUAACUGUUUGAUACUUCAAACUCUCUUUACGGCAUCCUAAACUGCCACAAAAAUACUAACCCCAACCUAAAGGAGAACUUAACAGAAUCUAAAAGCCGACCUCCUCUCUUAUGGAGAAGAAUGAAAUGACUCAACAACUCAUUGACAAGUUUCCCACCUCACCUAUAGCCUACACAAGAAAGUAGAAAAUGUUGAGUCCAAAUAUUUACCAAAGUCCAACAAACUGGAAGAAAUGAAGAAUUUCUCUUUCAUUCUUUGGUAUUCCAUCUAAGUAACAGACUUGACAAACUUGAACCUGAAGGAAUAUGACAUUUCAGCACUUAGUGAAAAAGAUUGUAUGCAGUCCAUGCCUUGUACAUAAAGCUUAGGAGAUUCGAGGCAUGAAUCCAAGUAAAAGGCGGAUAUGAAUAGAGGAAUCACAGUACAAGCUAAGUGGUGGAUUUCCCUCUCAAGAAGAAAUCAUGAUGCAGUCGGACUCCAAAGUGCUUACAUUUUUUCCUUAUUAUUAUUAUUACUUUUUAAAUUUCUUUACAUUAACGCGGUCUGUUUUGCAGUAUCCCCCCACCCCAACUUUCUUUUCCUUUUCCCACAUCACAUAUUCCAUAAGCCUCUAACUUCAUGUAAAAAGCAAAGUCUACCACUAUUUUUUUUUACUUUUCCCCUGGAUUUUUUUGCUAUAGCCGAUAGUCCUUCGACAGAAUCUAAGAAUACCCAGGAAUUUUCAAAGUUAUAUUAUAUAAAACGUAAUUACACUAGUUCAAUACUCGGACAGAGACUUGUAAACACAAUCACCAAGAAAUUCCACACGCUACUGAAAAGAGGGGGAAGAAGAAAAACUCUGCGUUGCAACUGUAACCUUAAAAAUCUAAAACUACACAAGUAGACAGAAAUACUAACAAUGAGAGAAGCAAAAUUCAUAGAAAUAUAGAUCCACAGGUAAAAGAAAAAUACUUGGCAGGGUGACUUACUUGUUCCCCUUGAUCUUGAACCAAGCCUCAGCACAUUGUUUGUGAGCAGCAGCCAAAUCAUCCUUACAAGAACAACCUAAAUCAAUAGGAAGCCCAGAUUCUCGAUUGGCAGCAUCUAAGCUGAGGUGGCAAAUCCUGCAAUCCCUCUCACUUCCGGGCAAAUGUACCUCGGUCUCUUGACCCCCAGCUUCCAGAUCCACCACGACUGAACAGUCUGAAACGGAGGAUUCUCCCCUUUUAUGUUUGUUGUCCAACACCCCAACAAUCUCAGUCCCAGAUAUACUGGAAGAGACCUUUUUCUCCUCAUUCGAUGACUUAUCAUUCACAUCAGAAAAGCACAAAGAACUACUGCUACCUCCUCCAUUCUCAACAGGGGAAUGGCGGCGACCUUCAAAGCCGCCAUCAUCGCCAGCACCAUGACCAGAUUCCAAAUCAACACUGGACUGGUGCAAAGUUGCCAUAUUUGCAAACGCCCAGAUGGAGAAUCCUCAUGUAAGCGCGAUACAAAACCAAGAUCAUGAAUGUAAAGCAAAGAUUGAAGCUUUCUUUCCCUCUCAAUCAGUGUUCUUCUUUCAGUUCCUGAGCAGGUAAACGUGGUGAGGCUAAAAAGUGGGCUCUUCCCUCUUUUGUCUAUCAGCCCACGGACAAUAGUACUGGGGAGGUAGCCAGAGAUAGCUCCAAAAGAGAUCACGGCAGAAAAAAAACACUUCAAAGAAAAAGGAUUGAUGCCGUUGAAAACUGGAACAGACAACUACUGAGAAGCCUAUUAUUCACUGUUUGCUUGCUUCCUUGCCAUUCCUAGCAGCACACUAUUUUGCUAUUGAUUAUCUUGACAACUAACAUUGGUAACUUUUCGAUGCACUUUGCACAGGUCACGUUACUUGCUUUCGCGGGAGGUAAAUAUCACCUUUAAGGCUUCAAAUGCAGGUUGAUGGUGCGACAGUAUUAAUUGCACCCAACAUAAAUAGUAAGUAGUAGUAAUAAAUAAGGAAAGAAGAGAUUUUAGCGGAGAGUUUGUGCAAAAGAAUCGGCUGAAUUAGAGAAGAAACGCCUAUAAAAAUGGGGGUUAAGCUUCUAUACUCUUUGCCCGCAUGGGAUCGCGGGCUGAGGCAUACAGCAUUUCGGCCUGUGUAAGCUGCUUAAAAUGUAAAGAAAAUGAAAAAAAAAAAAAAAAAAGAAAAAGAGGGUGUCAUUGUAUGAAUUUGUUUUAUACAGACAUCUUCUAAUUUGGCUAAUUGGAAUUCUCCUAUUUUAUUAAAAAAGAAAGCCCUCUCCGGGAAUAAGAAAAUAAAAAGGGGACUAUGACUAGUAAUUUUGUUGUGUCCCUUUCUUGAAAUUUUCACCAUACCAAACUAGCACAACUGUUUAGUAAUCAGUGCUAGUAGUGCUGCUUGAAUUACGUUGCCGACUAUGAAAAGAUGGUUUAUCUGCUGUGUGCUCAAGUCUCAAUUCACCCAUCCAGUAAUGGUAAAUUUGUCCUGACGCAGCAAAAUUAGACGUAAGUGCUAGUUCAGAAUUUUUUGUGGCAAUUAGUCCAAUCUAAUUUGUUUUUCUAGGCGAAUCUAAUGAUUUUGUUGCGUCUUUCUCUACCUUUUGAUACCUUUUCUCUUUUUCUCUCUUUUUUUUUUUUUUGGUUGGGACUUGGGAGAUUUCUACAUUUUGUUUGUUAUUCGCAUGAAAAUCCUAAAGACCGAAGGGGCGUGUAAGAAAAUUGCUGAUGUUGAUUGAGUGAGGUAGGGAUAAUUUUUCUUUCAAAAAGGUUAAAGAAAAUGUCUAGCUGUUACAGAACUUGGAAAUACUCAUACAAAAAACUUGGGGGGUCUUUAUCUCUUAGCAGCGGGGCACCCUGUGGGGUUAAGUUCCCACAUCGCUUGGGGGGGUUUGGGGGGUUUAGUAGUUAAGUGCUGCGGAGCACUUCAAAAGUUGCCGGCUUUUGAAGUGUCUUCGCAGAGUCCAUUUAUCGAAACACUCAUACAAAAAACUGUGAGUUAUGAAAGGGUUACAGAACUUGGAAAUACAGUAGUGUGUUGGAUCCUUUAAAACUAUGUCAUGAUUUCACACUUAUCAUUACGAAUCAUCAAUUGUAUCAAUUUGCUCCCUUAAACUUUUUAAAUUUGCAAGAUUAGUUGUUGACAGAAAUAUCACUUUUUUUUAAAUUUAGAAAAAAAAAAAAAAAAAAGGGAUUGCAGACUGCUGUAAGUACACAACUUGCUCAUUUUCAAAUCUACUAUAAUAUGAACAUGGAAAAUCGAGUAAUUGACCAUUGCGUAUUCAAAUCGUGGGACUAGGACCCUUUUCUUUAUCACGUAAAAAAAAAGUUAGAACUUUUUUUUUUUUUUUUUUUGGGUCAGACAAAAAGUUAGAAAUAUUUAGCUGCUACUAGAGGAUUAGGACUACCGUCAUUUCCAUAUGAAAGGAGAUGCUCUAAAUAUUGUGAAGAAAAAAAACAGCGCAGAUCAUUUCCAUUGUAUCAGGUCCAAGCUACUAAGCUAGCAGAAUUUGGCUUUAUUAAAGCCUCACGUGUGAAAAAAUCAAACAAUGUACCUGCACAUUUGUGGUCUAAAACGUCGGUAUCAGUCGAGGGAAGUAGAGUUUGUUUUGUAAACUUCCCAUGGAUGUAAUCAACUCUAUGACAUUGGUGAUCCAAGUUGAGCAAAAGCAUGGUUUUCCUUUUAAAAAAUGGGAUAAUUUCUUCAAACUUUUCCGAGCUAUCUAACAAUUUUAUUGAGCUCUCUUGAAAUUUCAAAAAUUACACAUUCUUCCUCUAAUUGACACUUUAUAGCCAAACUUUAGAUUCGUUAAAAAAUUUAAAUGAAUAUCUUAAAAUACUCCCAUUUUAUAAAGUUCACUACUUUCUAAAGCAAUAGCAAUAUAUUUAGCACAUGUAUAAGAAAAGAUUGUCAAGUUCUCAAUGCCAAUAAAAAUCUAUUGUUUGAUAAGCAAUUAUGACAAUAGUUCUAUUACUGUGAUAAAAUAUUUAUCACUACCAAAAUUAUUCUUUCUAAAUUGGAGAAGAAAGUGUCAUCAUGAUGCCUUAGAGUUGAUAGAUUUUUGGUUUCGUGAAACUAUCAGUUUGAUGCUAGUUUUGUGCUCGUUUUUUUAGUCAGUAUUGCUUUUAAUACAAAAAAAAAAAGAUUGACAAGAGAAAAAUUGGAUCACGUUAAGAGUUCUCAAAAAGAAAAGUCACUAGUUUAACAUUUAGGGUUAGUGUUUACAAUUACAUAGGAUUAUUGGCAAAAAAAAUAAAAUAAAAAAGGAGGAAGAAGAAGAGAAAAGGAAAAAAAAUAAUUAUAAAUCCCAUUAUUUGUGCAUGCAUACCCAAUAAGGGAUUUUUAUUAAAAUGUUGAGGUUAGUAUUGUUAUUUUAAGAGGACAAGAGAAGUAAGUAAAAUUUUUAAAAUAUCAUGAGAUCUAAGUAAAAUUAUCAGAAAUCUCAAGGGAGGCAUAUGAAAUUAUCACUUCGAAAAAAAAAAAAGGAAAAGGAUUAAGACUACCGUCUUUGACUAGCUGACCGAUGAUACAAAUUCAGAAGAAUUUUUUGGACGGACCAAAAGCAAAAGUAGGAGGCGUAGGAGUAGGAGUAGUCCUACCAGAUUCCUUGCAAAGGGUUUCAGAGGGGGACACUGAGGAGAGUCAGGACUGAAUCUUUUUCCCUCUGGACAUUUUUUUCCCACGGAAAUGAAAUUUGUUUAAUUAAAUCUAAUCCCAGAACAGUACUCAAAAAUCGGCAACUCUUGAGCAUGUCCCAGGGACUAACUACCCAAAUCCCAACCCCCCGAGACCGAUGUGGAAUAGAAACCCCGACAGGGGCCAAGCCCGAUGACCCGCUGCUACUAAGAAGUGAAGACCCCCCACGACCCACGCAUUAGCGACCACAGCGAAAGUUUCUUGUUUUUUGCGCGUGCAAUUGCUUGCAUUUUUUCUUUCUCACGAAACGAAAUUUGUUUAAUUAAACCUAAUCCCAAAACAGUACUCAAAAGCCGACAACUCUUGAGCAUGUCCCAGAAACUUAAUUACCCAAAUCCCAACCCCCGAGAUCGAUGUGGGAUAGAAACCCCGACAGGAGCCACCCUCUGGACAUUGAUAGUGGUUGAUACUUGAAACCAAUACCCGGGCAAGGGCCGAGCCGCCAAAGGGGUUGGUAUGAUUGGCCUAUGCAAUAAUCAACUGCCGUUCAUUUGUAAUGCUCAUUUACCCACUUGUCCACACUCCAGUCGUUCAAUUUCAAGAGGGGGAUCGGUGGAACAGUGGCAGUGUGUCCCUUUGAAGUUUCAACACGUAUUUGGUAAAUGUUUGGUAAAGUCUAUAUCGCAUUUAUUUUUGCUAAUUAGGGUAGCGGUUGCAAUUGUGCUCCAAUGACUAAAAAUAGAAGUGACAUUUCAAAAGACUCUCCGAACCAACCAAUUGAGAAAGACUCCCACUUUCUUUUUCCCUGUGUUUUCAAACUCGGACCGGACCGGCCAGUCCGACCGGUUGAACCGGGAACCGGUCAAGUGUCCGGUCCGAGUUGGUCAUCAGAACCGGGAGAUUCAAGACCCGGUCAACUCCGGUCAAAAAUCGGGUUUGACCGGUACAAAACCGGAAAAACCGGUCCAACAGGAGUUUUUGUAAAAAAAGUUCAAACUUUUUUAAUAUUAUGUUUUGACCCCCUAAAUUGUGAAAACUUAUUAAUAUACCUCAAAUAUUUCAUACUUUAUAAAUAUUGUCCUAAAAUUUGAUGUUAUUUUUCAAUUAAAUCCAUAAUUUUAAUUCUAAACUUGUUAAUGUUUAUUAAAUAAUUUAAAUUGUUAUUUGAUUGUUCUAAUUUCUUUGUAUUUUCUUGUUAAAUAUAUUUGAAACAUCAAAUAUAUAUGAAUAUACCUUUAUUAAUAUCAAUAUGUUAUUGGAUAUUUUAUAUACAAUAAUUUAAUUUUUAAAUAAUUUUUAUUUAUGACGUCAUCCGGUUCGACCCCUAUCGACCCCCGGUCGAACCCAUUGACCCCUGACCCCUGACCUCGACCGAGUCGAUAUCCGGUCCGGUUCUGAAAACAUAGCUUUUUCCACGCCCUCAAGGAAACCCUUGGGGCUUGUUUAUAUUGCAUUUUUUCACUGCAAAAUUUAUACAUUUCAGGUCAACAUAUUUUCAAUCACUUAUAAAAAACUUCUUAAAAUUGUAAUCUAAAUGGAUUCUUAAAUUUUUGAUAACUGUCAAACAUCUUUUCUUUUCUAUAUACAAAGCAUGAGGCUUCUUUUUAGUGUUAAAAUUUUUUUAUCAUUAUUUAAUAUUCCAAUUUUAUCAUUAAAUAAGAAGGAUAUAUAUAUAUAUAUAACCACAAUAAUUAAACUAAGAAUACUUAUUCAAUUAGAAAAUCAUUCAAAAUAUUUAUCACAUUUUGUCAAAUGAAUUUUUUUGUCACUCACUUUUAAAUGCUAACUUUACAUCCCUUAUAAAAUCAGAUCAUCUAAUUUUAGUCCUAACUUAAGUUUUAAACCAUUUUUUAACAUGAAUCCAUUAUAUGACCCAAGUCAUUUUUUUAGGAGCAAAAAUGAAUGUAGGUCGGGUAAUUGUUUACUGUAAAUCUUUUUUAGGGGCAAAAAAUGAAUGUGGGAUGGAUAAUUUUUUUUUUUAACUACAAAUGACCACAUGCAGGUCGUUUUUAACUACAAACGUGGGUUGGAUAAUUUUUUUUGUAACUAAAAUCUUUGACUUUUUUGCACUUAAAAGAUGACCAUAUGUAGGUCAAAUGGUGAUUCAAUUUGAGAAAUGGUCGGAAACUUAAGUUGGAACCAAAAUUGGCUGACUUGAUCUUAUAAGGGAUAUAAAAUCAAAAUUUUAAAAGUGAAUGACGAAAAAAUUCGUUUGAUGAAAUGUGAGGGAUUUUUUGAACAAUUUUUCCCUAUUUAAUUUCAACAACUUAUUUUAACUUCUUUUAUUGUGACUUCUAAUAACUUCCUUUCAAAAUAAAUUUUGAAUAGCCUUUUUUUUUUUUUUGCAAUUCUAACUUCUAAUAAUUUCACCCUUUUGUAAAAAUAAAGUUGAACAAAAACUCCUACCCUUUUAUUGUGAAAAACUUUGUUUUUAAUUUGCGCACCCAUAGGACGUGUCUUUCCCUCAAAUUUGUACUAUAUGGUUUUGUGAAAUAGUAGUGGGUUCACAACCGGAGCUAAAUAGUAGUGUCUUUGUUGCCUCUUUACGGCAUAGAUGCCUUGUAGGGUUAAUGCACUAAACUCUCAUAAAUUUUAUUAUCAGUUGCACUUUGUCCUCUCCUGAGCAGUUUGUCCCCUACUAUUAUUCUAUUUUUUCUCUUCGUUUAUUCAUUCCUUUGUUUGUUUUUUCCUAUUACUUUCUAUUCCUUUUUAUGUUAUUCUUCUUUCAUGUCACUAGUUCUUUCACUUUCCUAUAAGAUUACUAAUUGUAUGCUUAUUACAAAAUCGUAAUUUUCUUUUACUUCUAAUUUCAUUCUUAUCAUAAUGUCCUUUAACUUUGAUCUCAAAUGCAAAUUCAUCAUGUUAUCUUAUCCCAAAAACGAGGGCAAGAAAUGAUUACCACAACUUGCAAAUAUUGCACUUUAAAAAAAAAAAAAACAAUGACCAUCAAAAUGAAUCGUCUUAAAUGUAUCAGAAAAGUCUCUGUUAAAAGUUAAAACGCAUAGCAGCAUGUACCAAAAAAGUUAAGAAAGCACAACUACCUAGCAACUUAAGCAAGGUGCUAGCCAUUGAAUAGAAGUUUCAAAUCAUUGCUAACCUUAGAAAUCAAGUUUCUAUGGAAGAAGCCAAUAUAUUAUCAAGUUUCUAUGGAAGAAGCCAAUAUAUUCCCCUGGUAUAAGACAAGAAUAAAUCAAGAAGAAUGCCACCUCGGUGGCAGCUAAAAAGAAACACAAGACUCAGAAAAACUAAGGUAAAAGGAACCUCAGCAGGUCAAUUUUCAGAAAAGCAAUAAAGCAUCAGGAAUCCAAUCUCAAGCAAGGACAUGAUCUCUUCUCCGAAAACAACAUAGGCUCUAUACAAGAUUGUAUAAUCCUAGCCUGCCAUAAUCCAGCAGAUGAACUUGUACUCAGUUUAAUGAAGCUAUUAUCAUUUCCACUUUAAAUUUAAGAGAGAGAGAGAGAGAGAGAGCUUAUAACAUUAGCUCUAGCCUUCAAAUUCAGCUUGAAAAAAUACACGUUGGCAAAGGCAUCUUGGCUGGAAACACAUUUGUCAUGAUUCCUCUUGAUUGGUGCUGUACCUUGUCAAAGUGCAAGGGCUGCAACGCAUGUUCAUGAGCAUUCAUUUGCACAGGGACAGUCCGAGGCACCAUUGGGCCACUAGCUGUUUCUGGUACUCUCAAUGAAUUCUCAAGUCCACUUUUAAUCCAGGCAAUGUUGUUCAAGUCUGUGGCUAUGGCAGCCAAUUCAUGACCUGAACAGGGGGGAAGUUCUUCAUAUUCAACAAAUUCAGGUCCCAACAAUGAGCUCUUCUUCAAAGAAGAGCCCAAGCCAG
rnacentral:lncRNA from 1 species